UACGGAGGGUGCGAGCGUUGUCCGGAAUCAUUGGGCGUAAAGGGCGCGUAGGUGGCCCGGCAAGCGUGCGGUGAAAGUCGGGGGCUCAACCCCCGAUCGGCCGUGCGAACUGCGGGGCUGGAGCACUGUAGAGGCAGGCGGAAUUCCGGGUGUAGCGGUGGAAUGCGUAGAGAUCCGGAAGAACACCGGUGGCGAAGGCGGCCUGCUGGGCAGUUUUGCUGACACUGAGGCGCGACAGCGUGGGGAGCAAACAGG
rnacentral:rRNA from 1 species